UUUAAAUUUUUUUUUUUCCUUUUUCUCUUUGCUAUUGGCCCAACACAAGCAGCAAAAGUAACAUGUCUGAACCUGUUUCAUUGUCUGUUCUGGUGGUUACCCACUUUCUUCUCCCCUGGUUCAGGGAAAGUGAGGAAAAAAGGUUUGCCUUUGCCCAGCAGCACUGCAGGUGUCUGUCCCUCUGAAAGAGUCCCAGCGGUGUGGGCGUGCUGGAAAGAAAAAUCCCCAGUGACUUCACCCAGCUUGGCUUGUGGUGGUUACUCACAAUGAGCCUUUACACUGCUAUUACAGCUCUGGUAUCCUAUAGCAAGUAAGAACAUAACAUUACAUCUGUUCACACGUGGGAGAUGGAGGAACUGCAUUAAGAGCCCAUCAGAUAGGAAGGUUCUUGUCCUGUUUGAAACACCAAAGAAGGCAGAAUUUUCAGUGCUGGUGGUUUGUGGAAAAAAAGAAAAAAAGCUACGGAGGACGUUUUACGUUGGGCAGAGAUUUCAGGCUGCAGCAAGAUCCAGCCUGUGCACUUGUGAAAGGCUGUGCUCUCCUCUGGGGCUGGAGGAAGACAAAGGCACCAUUCAAGGAUGAGCUCCAACCCAGAACCCAUUCUGAACAGGAACCUGACCAUCUUGUCUUGGAGGCUUGGUGUGAGAACCAUAUGGAAGGGAAGAAGUAUCCUAGACCCAAGAUGCAAGUUCAUGGAUUGUAGAGGAAGACAGGAGGCCAAACACUGAAACAGCAUCUAACAGAAGUGCACACUGGGUCAAAAUUUCCACUUCUAUUUGGUCGAAUUUCCAACAUAAAUUAAACCAUUUUCUCGAAGUCGUGGCUUUUCCCAUUGGUAAGCUAUGAAUCUUCCCUCACAGUUAAUU